AUUGAGUAUAAGUUGAAGUUAUCUAAUGUGCAUCCUGUAGCUUUGCCAAGUGGAACAUCUGCCGCAAGCUUUUGAACAGGUACGUAUAACGUAUUUAUAGAUAUAAUAUGGCUGUCAGCGUCUUGAACCCAGACACAACACACGUUAUCAUAUAUUACAUUACAUAAUUUGACCUGGAAAAUAUAGACGGCACUCUAACCAUGCCCUUGAAUGUUCGUCUGAAGUGAUUUCUACUGACAGCUCUGCCUUUAGCAAGACAAGAGUUCAGUGGUCCCAACACGCAUUUCCCAAGGCUAUAGCCGUGACAAGUUAUUCAGUAAGGCAGAGAAAUUGCAGACCAGGGAAUCUACAGUGUUCUCCAAAUAAUAUAUUGUAAAGGACGGAUGGCAGCAUCACUAUUCCGUGUACAACUUUGUUUUACCAAGAAAUAGUUACCAACCUAAAAUAAAGCGAACAAAGAAUUUCACAAAGGUCUCUAUACUUGAAGUGCACACGGGAAAAAAUGCAUAUACUCCAACAUAAACUUUAUACUAUGAUAGAAACAUAGAAAGUUUCACAAACAAG